AGAAUUUUGAGACUCCCCAUGAGUGUGAUGACGUCACAUGUUAAAGUUUUUUUGUUAAAGGUUAUUCCUGUCAAUGUUGAUCAGACUGUUUCCUCCAAACUCUCAAUGCUUCAUGAUAAAAAUUAUAUACACUCAUAUAUCACAUGUAUAACUAUAUACUAAUAUAAUCAAUAUGUAAUCCAAUAACUCUAUAUCAGUAGUUGCAGCAAAGCUUAUGGUAACGCAAGAAACCACAGUAUCCACUGUAGAAAAAAGGCAAACGCAGAAGGCUUAAGAAAAAUCAUACUUACUCAUUAAGCAGAAAACACUAAUCGAAUAAUAAUUCCAGCAGAUAACACUAACCAAAAGCUAAUCAUAUAUUACUAAAAAUAUAAUCCAAAAAAACUAACAAAACGUUAUUACCCAAUAGAAUAUGCUAGAAAACUAAUACUUUACAGUGACCCCUGUGUAACCUGAAUAAAAAGAAAAAGUACAGGAGGCUAUAACUCUGUGAACUUGUAUGUGUAAUGGAAAAUACAGAAAGCAAUGACGUGUAUGCAUAGGGAAAAAGUACAGAGUAAGGGAAAAUUGGAAAAAUACAGACAGCAAUGACGUGGUGUAUGCGUAGUGGGAAAGUACAAAGUAAGGGAAGAUUGGGGUACCUGUCCACUGAUGAAGAUUAAUUAAGAACAUCAAUAGAUUAAUUAAGAACAUCAAUAGAACCAAAAAUCAGUUUUGGGGCACCUGUCCACUAUGAUAAGAUUAAUUAUUGAUACAUUAAGAACAUCAUAAGGACCGAAAAUCAUUUUUGUGCCAAAAAAGUCAAGUUGACCCACGAACAGGAAAGUGAAACUCCUUACUGUGCCUGAUAUUUUUAGAAAUAUGUUAAAGGGGGGUUUUGGGCACAAUUUGUGUAUAAAAUGUAUGCAAAACUGACAAUCGAGGUUCAAUUCUGCUGAAUUGAUCCGGCUUUGUGCACCUGUGCAAUAAAGUCUGAACUUUCUGAAGAGCUUGCUGCUGUUGUGUCUUUUCCCUCCUGAAAUUGUUUUCUACAGAUUGGCGAUUGGCGUGGAACUCUGUCGUUUCCUAGACACGACAUUUGGGGGCUCGUCCGGGAUACGAAAAAGGUACCAUCCUUUCGUAAAACCAACCCGGACACUAACACCGAAAAUUGAGUGAAAGAAAAGCAGCGAGCUCUUCAGAAACGUGCGCUACGAACCAAUGGAGCAAGCCACUGGAUCAGGGUGCUGGAGGAGGAGACGACAGGCCGGAUCCUGGCUGUGGGGGACCUGAAGGCUCUCCUGGGAAAGGUUGUGGGGAUGGAAACAAUGCUGGACAUAUUUGAGCAGGCUGGCUUUGACAGAGACCAUGCGCAGUCGCCAGCAGUGGACGGUGGGCCAUUUGAUAACGUGCGUGGGGUUGUUUGGACUGCUCUGUGAGCCCUGUAUCCCGCACGACUGGACAUGGCGGCCUUAACGGGACCGCCGUUAAAAGACAAUGAACCACCGGCGACAUACAUCCACACGUAGUUGCACAGGUGGAGAUUGAUAACUAAAAGGGACGUACGGGCAGAUCCCAUAAUGACCACCCUCUUCCGCAAAGCCAUCCAGGAGGGGAUGUCACCGGAAGUGGGGCGCCGCCUUGAUGAGGUGGUGGGACUGAACACCAUGACACACAGAGAGUUUAUGGAUCAUGUGGUGCACGCUGUGGACAGGCAGCGGAAAGAAGGGAAAAAGCUGGAAGAUCAAACAAAAGACAUUCAAAGGAAGCUACUGCAGUUGCAGCUGGAGGAGCUGAGAGCCAAAGAAAAAGAGGCGGAAAAAGUGGCAUCUGCGAAAAUACAGUAUAUGGACAAUGAAUUCUUUAACUUCGAAGCCACCCCCCCGCCUGAACCAUGGAGCAGCCUGAUGGUGCCUCGGCCAGCGGUGAUGUACAACUUCUCCGGCAUCCCUCACCCAGUGGCCAUGCAAGGUAAUAUGAAAGGGGGGGGCACCCAACCAGGGGACCUGGGUACCUAAUCAGCCUCAGCAAUCGCAGGGUUACCCCAACUUGGCCCCACCUCCCCAGGCUAGGCCCCCAUAUCAGAGUAUGGAACCUGUAAAUUACCAAGGUGCCCAAUAGGGGUGCCCAGAGAACCCAGGCAGAGUAGGGCAGCAUGUAAUGAUAACAAACGGGCCAGAACAAGAGCCUAUAAUAAAUGUACAAAUCGGAGAAAAAAUUGUCCCUAUGAUGAUAGAUACUGGAGCAACAUGUACAUGCAUUAAGAAAGAAUAUGCUUUACAUCUGCCACUGUCGGGAGAAGUUAUUCAAACAGUAGGGUUCUCUGGGAAAACAAUGUUAAGCCCGACCACAAAACCGGCAUUAAUAAAAAUAGGCGCAAAAGAAGCAAAAUUAGAGGCCGUAAUAGGGGAUAUUAAGACACAAGUAAAAGACCAAGUGUGGUACCGUGGGAAGAGAAAUCUCAAAAGUGUGGUGUUGCAAUAUGUUGAUGACUUAUUACUAUGUGCAGAUACAAAAGAACAGUGCAUAAGGGGGGCAAAGGGGGGACACAAGGUGUCCAGGAAGAAGCUGCAGCUCUGCUCUCAGAAGACGGGGAGAGCAGAGGGACUGCGGGCGCUGACACCAGCCCAGGGAGCAACAGCACCAACAGUGCCCCUGCGGGUCCAGUGCGAGAAUCGCAGGCCGGCUUUCCAGUGGAGUGACGCGCAGACCGCGUACUCUGGAUUGGAAGAUAUACCAGGAACCUACCACCUAUGAGGACUGCAGCAACACAUCGUGCUACGAAUCAACGUGUUAAGAAAUUGUGUAUAAUAACUUUGUUGGGUCAUUUAGAAUAAUAUAUACAGCUUUGAUAUGUAUAAUCAAUUUUUUGCGACUAGAGAGAGUGUUGGAGGAACCAUGGGAACAACGUUACAUUGAGGAAUCUGAUACAUUUGGAUGCUGCUAUGGCAGCAGGGGAUGCGCAGGCACCCAACAUAAUAUACAUGGGGUGGUGCACACCCGACACUGACUGACGCUGAGAAUAAGAAUACAGCGAGGGGUGUUUUUCGGGGCCAUGAGGUUUGACCCCGAAAGGGGGGAAUGUAGGAGAAUUUUGAGACUCCCCAUGAGUGUGAUGACAUCACAUGUUAAAGUUUUUUUGUUAAAGGUUAUUCCUGUCAAUGUUGAUCAGACUGUUUCCUCCAAACUCUCAAUGCUUCAUGAUAAAAAUUAUAUACACUCAUAUAUCACAUGUAUAACUAUAUACUAAUAUAAUCAAUAUGUAAUCCAAUAACUCUAUAUCAGUAGUUGCAGCAAAGCUUAUGGUAACGCAAGAAACCACAGUGUCCACUGUAGAAAAAAGGCAAACGCAGAAGGCUUAAGAAAAAUCAUACUUACUCAUUAAGCAGAAAACACUAAUCGAAUAAUAAUUCCAGCAGAUAACACUAACCAAAAGCUAAUCAUAUAUUACUAAAAAUAUAAUCCAAAAAACUAACAAAACGUUAUUACCCAAUAGAAAUAUGCUAGAAAACUAAUACUUUACAGUGACCCCUGUGUAACCUGAAUAAAAAGAAAAAGUACAGGAGGCUAUAACUCUGUGAACUUGUAUGUGUAAUGGAAAAAUACAGAAAGCAAUGACGUGUAUGCAUAGGGAAAAAGUACAGAGUAAGGGAAAAUUGGAAAAAUACAGACAGCAAUGACGUGGUGUAUGCGUAGUGGGAAAGUACAAAGUAAGGGAAGAUUGGGGUACCUGUCCACUGAUGAAGAUUAAUUAAGAACAUCAAUAGAUUAAUUAAGAACAUCAAUAGAACCAAAAAUCAGUUUUGGGGCACCUGUCCACUAUGAUAAGAUUAAUUAUUGAUACAUUAAGAACAUCAUAAGGACCGAAAAUCAUUUUUGUGCCAAAAAAGUCAAGUUGACCCACGAACAGGAAAGUGAAACUCCUUACUGUGCCAGAAAAGACCAGAUGGCUGAUAUUUUUAGAAAUAUGUUAAAGGGGGGUUGUGGGCACAAUUUGUGUAUAAAAUGUAUGCAAAACUGACAAUCGAGGUUCAAUUCUGCUGAAUUGAUCCGGCUUUGUGCACCUGUGCAAUAAAGUCUGAACUUUCUGAAGAG